GCACCGAUGGUUCAGUGGUGGACUUCUCGCCUUCCAUACGGGAAGCCCAGGUUCAGCUCUUGGCCAGUGCA
rnacentral:tRNA from 1 species